rnacentral:tmRNA from 1 species
GGGGGCGAACCGGGUUCGACGGAGGCUAGGGGAUUACGGUCGCACGCCGGGGUUCUGUUGGCCCGUAAAACAAACAGACUGCGAAAUUUACCCGCAGACAAUAACGGUUACGCUCUGGCGGCCUAAGGGCCGCUAGCGUCUCGCCGCUGUUCGCCCGUGACAGCGGGUCGGGGCGUCAUUUAGCGGGCUGGAGCGUCGUGGUUCACCGAUUGCACGGUUGCUUGAGAGCUCAAUCGGCUGGCUGGCGGAGAGCCUGUCCGUGGGCGGUUCGCCAGCGAGAUCAAUUCGCGGAAUAAGCGUGUAGUGGCCGCAGUCUGAAGGUCUUCGGACGGGGGUUCAAUUCCCCCCGCCUCCACCA